rnacentral:rRNA from 1 species
AUUGAACGCUGGCGGCAGGCCUAACACAUGCAAGUCGAACGGUAACAGGAAGAAGCUUGCUUCUUUGCUGACGAGUGGCGGACGGGUGAGUAAUGUCUGGGAAACUGCCUGAUGGAGGGGGAUAACUACUGGAAACGGUAGCUACUACCGCAUAACGUCGCAAGCCCAAAGAGGGGUACCUUCGGGCCUCUUGCCAUCGGAUGUGCCCAGAUGGGAUUAGCUAGUAGGUGGGGUAACGGCUCACCUAGGCGACGAUCCCUAGCUGGUCUGAGAGGAUGACCAGCCACACUGGAACUGAGACACGGUCCAGACUCCUACGGGAGGCAGCAGUGGGGAAUAUUGCACAAUGGGCGCAAGCAUGAUGCAGCCAUGCCGCGUGUAUGAAGAAGGCCUUCGGGUUGUAAAGUACUUUCAGCGGGGAGGAAGGGAGUAAAGUUAAUACCUUGGCUCAUUGACGUUACCCGCAGAAGAAGCACCGGCUAACUCCGUG